rnacentral:rRNA from 1 species
UGGGGAAUAUUGGACAAUGGGGGGAACCCUGAUCCAGCCAUGCCGCGUGUGUGAAGAAGGCCUGAUGGUUGUAAAGCACUUUAAGCGAGGAGGAGGCUCUCUUGGUUAAUACCCAAGAAGAGUGGACGUUACUCGCAGAAUAAGCAGCGGCUAACUCUGUGCCAGCAGCCGCGGUAAUACAGAGGGUGCGAGCGUUAAUCGGAUUUACUGGGCGUAAAGCGUGCGUAGGCGGCUUUUUAAGUCGGAUGUGAAAUCCCCGAGCUUAACUUGGGAAUUGCAUUCGAUACUGGGAAGCUAGAGUAUGGGAGAGGAUGGUAGAAUUCCAGGUGUAGCGAUGACAUGCGUAGCGAUCUGGAGGAAUACCGAUGGCGAAGGCAGCCAUCUGGCCUAAUACUGACGCUGAGGUACGAAAGCAUGGGGAGCAAACAGG